GAUGAACGCUGGCGGCGUGCCUAAUACAUGCAAGUCGAGCGAACAGACGAGGAGCUUGCUCCUCUGACGUUAGCGGCGGACGGGUCAGUAACACGUGGAUAACCUACCUAUAAGACUGGGAUAACUUCGGGAAACCGGAGCUAAUACCGGAUAAUAUAUUGAACCGCAUGGUUCAAUAGUGAAAGACGGUUUUGCUGUCACUUAUAGAUGGAUCCGCGCCGCAUUAGCUAGUUGGUAAGGUAACGGCUUACCAAGGCAACGAUGCGUAGCCGACCUGAGAGGGUGAUCGGCCACACUGGAACUGAGACACGGUCCAGACUCCUACGGGAGGCAGCAGUAGGGAAUCUUCCGCAAUGGGCGAAAGCCUGACGGAGCAACGCCGCGUGAGUGAUGAAGGUCUUCGGAUCGUAAAACUCUGUUAUUAGGGAAGAACAAAUGUGUAAGUAACUAUGCACGUCUUGACGGUACCUAAUCAGAAAGCCACGGCUAACUACGUG
rnacentral:rRNA from 1 species